rnacentral:rRNA from 1 species
UACGUAGGGGGCGAGCGUUGUCCGGAAUUACUGGGCGUAAAGCGUGCGCAGGCGGUUUUGUAAGUCUGACGUGAAAUCCCCGGGCUCAACCUGGGAAUUGCGUUGGAGACUGCAAGGCUGGAGUCUGGCAGAGGGGGGUAGAAUUCCACGUGUAGCAGUGAAAUGCGUAGAGAUGUGGAGGAACACCGAUGGCGAAGGCAGCCCCCUGGGUCAAGACUGACGCUCAUGCACGAAAGCGUGGGGAGCAAACAGG